CUCGGCUGUGACGUCACUCUAGUGGGCGGAGACUGAGGACUUGAACCCGGAAGUUGUACAACAGGUAACAGCAGCUGAGGAAAUUUGAUUUAGGUUCUUGAACUGGAGUUUAUGGUGUUUAGAGGAGACACUGAUGGAGGCCUAGAGGGUACACGACAGGCCGAUGCCGGAUGUGAGGCCUUCCAGAGCUGGAGGAGGAUUUAGAAGAUCAGAUCUUUAUAUUCCCGGAGGAGCUGGAGUUGGUGGACGGACGAAAUUUGCAGAGCCUAAACGCCAUACGUUUUCUGAUGUGAUCUGAAGACAUGAACGGACGUAACCGAAACAAAUCAAAAGUUCUUGAUGAUUUAUGCCGCUUGAAGAUUGGAUUUGACUGGCUGCAAGCUCUUAGUGGAUUUUAAAACUGUGUGAGGUGGAUGAAGGGAUUUUGGUUGGCGCUCGAGAUUUAGGACAAAUCGUAUAUAAAAAAACUGCAAGGUUGGCCCGCUUUGACAGCACUGAGGUCUACUUUAAAGACGGAUCGGCCCGCAUGGACAUGAUCGCGAUCAGAAGGAUUACCACAGACCUGACCGUGAACACCGUUGACACCCACCUGAGGGAGACGCUGCCUAAGAUCUCAAGGCUGCUUGGUCGUGGUCUUUCUGGCACGUACUCUUCCAAGAUGAGCCGGGAAGUUUAACACUGAUGGAAUGACACCAGGUCUAAGCCGACAAACUUCCAAUUCCUCCUCAACCCAUAGUCUCUGGGAAACCUACAUGGAACCAAAGAACUACAGACUCUUCACAACCUGCUCAAACUCUCAGUACAGGACCUCACCACACGGGUCAAGAAGGUUUCUGCCUCAUUUCUACUCUGAAGAUCACCUUCUCCUGCUCAAACUGUUGGCAAAUGUUUCUGCUGCUCUAAAGUCUGGUCUCCAGAACUUCCUAAAAACUCUCAAAGUCUCUUCUGCUGCAGGUUGCUUUGUAGAACUGUCGCAGAAAACCUCACUAAACCACAUGGAGGGGCCUCAAGAUAGUCGUCCAAAUGAAACCAUACAAAAACCAAACUAGCACAACCCAAACGCUAAAGUCUCCUGCAGCCUACCAGAGAACCUCUGAGAACAGAGAAUCAGGACAGGAACUCUUACCUUCUGGACAACCAACAUUGGUUCUCAAACAAGAAUACAGAAUGUGUCUGACCAAAAACCUCUAAAGACUCACUACAGCCAAGAUAAAGACACAACUCAGCUGUACCAAAUCCACUAAUCACUGCACACAUUAGCACCAUGUGGGUAAAGAACCACAUUUACCAAGACAACUAUCCAGUACAAAGCCCUAAAACACACCAAGAAACACAUUAAAGCCUAUUUUACUGCUGGAAGCUGCAAGCCAACACCUAAAGAACAAACUAAAGCAAUGGAGCCAAACCCGGUUCUGUGGUGAAGAGAAGCAGAGGAAAUGUUUGUCUGCAGCUAAAUAAAGCAGGAAGACACUGAGCUGCUCAGGUGUUCCUGAUAACACCUAGCAGCCACCUGGACAGCCAAUAGGAACACAGCUUACUGGAAGUCCAGAGGGCUGGGUUAGUGAAGUAAAUUUAGUUUCAAGUUGAGGCAGAAAGUUAACAAAGAAAGUUGAAAACCACCUUCUGAUACCUGAAAUCUCUGAGUUUUCACACAAAGAACACCUGAACAUGUCAAACUGGCUUCAUAGUAGAACCAUCAUUGUAAAAACGUCAUAGUAUGGUGUGUUGCUCAAAAAACAUUAGGACCCGGCUGUCAGGGGACAAAUAUGUAAGAAACAUGAGAACAGAGAGAAUCCAACCAGUAGGUCACAGUUUAUCAUCCCCCAGUCAUCUCCUGAAGUCCAUAUGGUGAGAGACAUCAGUAUCUGGUUGUUAAUUUACCAGAGGAUGCUUAUAAUCAUGCUGAUGUGGUCUGUACUCUACAGUAUUUUAGUGACUCAAUAAAUGCCUAAGUUGUUUUUUUUUUAAAUGCUUUUUAGUUUUUAAUAAACAUUUAACAGCCUAUAUGUAAUCAAUAAAUGGCCUUUGCCUAUCUUAAGAAAAACUCACUCAGAACUCUGAUAUGUUAACAGUACUAAAUAAAUCAAUAAAUACAUGCAUACACACAUAAAUAAGUUAAUACAUUAACUGUGUUAAGAUAAGAUUUAGAUUUUUUUAAAAAGUUGUUUAUGUUUUUGCAGAAUCCAGUAUUGCUCACUGGUUGGUCUUUACAUUUUAUUAGUUUGAUUUCACUGUUUAAAAUGAUGCCACCUCUUUUCAGACAGAACCUGUGAUAAUAAAACAAUACAAAAUUUUUAGUUCCGUGUUAAUAAAGCACUUAAAGCUUUAAGUAUGGCUAAAUGUUUUUUUCAAAAUUAAAUAUAUCACUCCUUAGGUGGUAGUGGCCCCAAGUUCAGUAAAGUUGGAAAGAUAUUCACAGAUUCAGACUUCCAGCAUCAAUAACUCAUUAGAUAUAGGUUGUCAAAACAUAAAUGGUGCCUCUUUCCCAUUGUUGCAAGGCAGACAAUGUGCUACAAGCCCAGUUUUAUCAAAAGUAGCUGUCUUUCUAGCUACAGGAAUAACAUUGGUGUCUAUGGAGUGAACAGGGUCCGUCUGCAAUUUGCAAAACUGCUGCAACAGUAAAGAGAGACAAAUAUUCAAUAACUUCACUCUUAUACAUUGUAGUGUCACUGUUUUAACAGAAAUGUAAAGGCUGUAAUUUGAUUCUUUUAAUGAACCAUGUAACUUGAAUGGAUGUGAUGCUGGUGUGACCACAGUGCACACGUCUGAUGUUGCUCACAGUGGUCCAAGGGACGCUCAGGGAGUUUGUGUGUUUGCUCAGACUCAUGAAAAAUUACAGGGAACAUUGUUUGGGACUCAAGCAGUUCCUUCUUUUACUCACUAUCUCCCCAGCCUUAGAAAAAAAACCUGUUCACACAGCACAGAUGAGGCUGAGGUACACAGGAAAUGUUUGGCUCCAUUGUACAAGUUUGGGUAAACGGUUUUGUGGGUUGCCCAGUAAGCCAGUGGGUCUGCCGUUCUUUCUACAAUUGCAUUCGCUGUGGCGCUUUGCAUUUACCAGGCUCUACUUGCGUCUUCGUCUAAUAGGCUCCACAGUUGAACUGAAAAAUAUUGAAGAUCAUCAUCAUCAUCACCAGAAAUGUCAGUCAUUCCCUAUUCAGAAGAGAAAAAGAAUACCUGUGGAAGGUGCUGCUGGUGGUGGAGGACGAGGCUGUGGUGGUGCUUGUGACGUAGAUGACUGCUGCUUGGUAUUCUUUAUGUUAACUGUUGUGCAUUCUGUUAUUAAAUGUUCUUUCACACUG